rnacentral:lncRNA from 1 species
UUUCCUCCCUACCUUUGUGCCACUCUGUGUAUGAGAGGAGAAAAGAAAGAUAAAUAUUCCAAGAAAUUUAGAAGUUGAAACGCAGAGAACUGAACACAGCUUAUAGGUACUGUAAUAUACAGAGAUAAGAACAGUAAGUUAUUGCAUCUGGAUGCUGAUCCUAGCUCAGAUUUAGUUUGUUGCCUUUGAUUUUUUGUGAAUUUGCUCUGACAUGAAAGAGACCAUUUGAGAUUUGAUCUUUAUUGUGCCUCUGUCAAUAGUGUUCGAGAAUCCCAGCUGUGGGCCAAGACCCUAUUACAAGAAUUGCUGUACAAACAUAAAAACAAACAGAUUUAUGUCAUCUUAUAUUCAAAUCAAGCGAGCUAAUUGAUUGGUGGGUUGUAUCUGAGCCAAAAAUUGGUGUGGUUUUUUAUUGCUGUUGUUUUUGUUCUUCAGGUCAUGAUCAUGAGAACAUGUACGGUAUCAGAGUAUCUAUUUCAACCAGAGGAAAAAAAAAAAGGCAAAAAGAAUGCUACUGAAAGCAUUGAUUUUUUUGUCUAUUUAUUUCACUUAUUUUCUUAUUUAUGGAGGAUAUCAACCUGGAAUGAUUAGAAGUUAAAACAUUGUCACCGUUAAUCACUAUUGUUCGGCAAUUUUUUUAAAGAGGACCCUACAAUGAGAAAAUUGUUAUAAAAACCCUACAAGAUUUUUCUGUGCAGAGGAGAGGCAUAUCUGUUACUAACAUUUCACGGAACAGAGAAAUCUCUUCCUGAAUGUGAUUGAGGAGCUUCAUCCUGGAAUUUUUUCAGAACUACAUGAAUAAUUUACAACAGCAAAAACACCACCACCACCAACAACAACAACAACAACAAAAUCCACAAGGAUCAUUCAAAAACUUUUAUUCCGUUAAAAAAGUAGUAAAGGGACAAGGUCCCUGGAGGAACGCAACACGGAGCACUGAAGAGACAGAAGACAGUACACCAGUAUGGCAUUAA